rnacentral:rRNA from 1 species
AUGAGCUCCGGCGGCUGCUCAACGUGCCUGGAGAUCAUCGCCGCCGUGCUCCCGCCGCUCGGCGUCUUCUUCCGGUUCGGCUGCUGCAGCUCGGAGUUCUUCAUCUCGCUGCUGCUCACGGUGCUGGGCUACGUCCCGGGCAUCGUCUACUCCGUCUAUGUCGUCUUGAAGACGCCGCCGGAGCUGCCGGGCAUCGACGGCGACCGCCCCUACUACAUCCUCGCCUGA